ACUUAUCUAGUAGUGUAAAAUGAUUAAGUUUGACUUGAUUGUAUAUAUUUUAUCUUUUUAUCUUUUUUAUUUUUUUUUUAUUUUUUUUAUAUAUAAAAAAGUGCUACUAGGGUUUGUGUUUUUUGUGCAUGCAGCAGGAGCUCAGACAUACUAGGAGCAAGAAAAAUACGCAACCUCUUCUUGAAGGCUUAAGCGAGGCAAGGGGGAGAAUGAUAGACAGACUCCCAUCUAGGGAUUUGUUUCCUUCCCCUGACAGAUUACUAUCACCUUCACCAGUUAGAAGAACAUAGGAGAUGGCUGAACGAACUCCUCCAAGACGCACUCUUGCAGACCAAUCAAAUGCGGUU
rnacentral:lncRNA from 1 species